rnacentral:rRNA from 1 species
UGGGCUUAAAGAGUUCGUAGGUGGUGAAAAAAGUUGGUGGUGAAAUCCCAGAGCUUAACUCUGGAACUGCCAUCAAACUUUUCAGCUAGAGUAUGAUAGAGGAAAGCAGAAUUUCUAGUGUAGAGGUGAAAUUCGUAGAUAUUAGAAAGAAUACCAAUUGCGAAGGCAGCUUUCUGGAUCAUUACUGACACUGAGGAACGAAAGCAUGGGUAGCGAAGAGGAUUAGAUACCCUCGUAGUCCAUGCCGUAAACGAUGUGUGUUAGACGUUGGAAAUUUAUUUUCAGUGUCGCAGCGAAAGCGAUAAACACACCGCCUGGGGAGUACGACCGCAAGGUUAAAACUCAAAUGAAUUGACGGGGACCCGCACAAGUAGUGGAGCAUGUGGUUUAAUUCGAAGAUACGCGCAGAACCUUACCAACACUUGACAUGUUCGUCGCGACUCUAAGAGAUUAGAGUUUUCGGUUCGGCCGGACGAAACACAGGUGCUGCAUGGCUGUCGUCAGCUCGUGUCGUGAGAUGUUGGGUUAAGUCCCGCAACGAGCGCAACCCUCACUUUUAGUUGCCAUCAUUAAGUUGGGCACUCUGAAAGAACUGCCAGUGAUAAGCUGGAGGAAGGUGGGGAUGACGUCAAGUCCUCAUGGCCCUUACGUGUUGGGCUACACACGUGCUACAAUGGUAUCUACAACAGGAAGCAAGACUGCGAGGUCAAGCAAAUCCCUAAAAGAUACCUCAGUUCGGAUUGCACUCUGCAACUCGAGUGCAUGAAGCUGGAAUUACUAGUAAUCGUGGAUCAGCGUGCCACGGUGAAUGCGUUCCCGGGUCUUGUACACACCGCCCGUCACACCAUGGGAGUUGGUUCUACCUUAAGGCAAGGUUUUAAACCCUUGACCACGGUAUAGUCAGCGACUGGGGUGAAGUCG